rnacentral:lncRNA from 1 species
GAAAUAUAAGUGUCAAUAGAAGUCAGUGAUUAAGAACAUAGGCAUUGGAAUCAGUCAGGUUCAAUUCCAGCCCUGCAAAUUCCAGCUCUGUUUGCCAAUAGACGAUUCACUCAACUCAUCUCAGCCUAUCUGCUGAUCUUUAAAAUGGAGCAAAAAAGCAUUCGCUGCAGUGAGUUGCCAUGGGAGUUAGAUAAAAUGAGACUGGUGAUGCAUUUAUUGUGAUGAUGAGAGCAUGGUGAGAGAGGCAGGCAAAGAUCAGAUGAAGUGGCAAUGUUAGACAGGGAGGCAUGAGUCUGCUUGAUGCAAAGUAGGUGCUAUCAGUAUUCCCCACUGCAGGAAGAAAAGGCAGAGAACAAGACUAGAAACAGAUGUUUGUCUUACCUGUAAACAGAAUCCUUCACCUGAAAUUAAAUACCAGCAUCCGGACAACAGAAUGUCAUUCAUCACUAAAAAUAAAUAAGCUAUCAAGUUACAAAAACAUACAGAAGAACCCCAAAUGUGUAUUACAAUGUGAAAGAAUCCAACCUGAGAAGACUAAUGUUUUGGGGGACUCCAACUAUAGGAUGUUACAGAAAGGGCAAAAUUGUGAAGGCAGGACAAAGGGCAGUGGCUUCCAGGAAAGAGGGAAGCAGAAUAGUGAAGGUUUUAGGGCAAUAAAAUAGUAGGACGUAGUAUGAUACUACAACAGUGGAUAUGGGUCAUUUUACACUUGCCCAGACCCACAGAACGUGCAACAUCAAGCAUGAAGCCACAACAUAAACUAUGGCCUUAGAUGAUAAUGAUGUAUCAGUAUAGGUUCAACCAUCGUACCCUAUGUACCACUCUGGUGGGGGAUGUUGCCAGGAGGAGGGCUGCUGGGGGUGGGGGCAGGGAACACAUAAGAACUCUGCAUUCUCUGCUCAGUUUUGCUAUGAAUCUAAAACUGCUCUUAGGAUAUAAAGUUUAUUAAUUUUUAAAAAUUGCAUACCCUGAUUAAAAAGUCCUGUCCAGCCUGCUUAUACAGGAUACGUUUUCUAUUUUAUUGGGGCACCCCCUAGUCUUUCCUAUGCAACAGAGGAGUCUUAGAAAACAUCUCUUAACAGUCCUAUUUUUUGACUGCAAUAAUCUAUCUCCUGCCUGGUCCCAGGCAGUCUACAUAUAAGAGCUAAGGCUGAACUAAGAAUGGUUCAGACACACCUUGCCUGAUUUGCCCUCCUUUACCGGAGGAUGCUGGGCUUCCAACGAGAAUAAACAAUGGGAUUCCAUUUUAAUCA